rnacentral:rRNA from 1 species
CGGGCUUUCUUACCAUGCAAGUCGAACGGGGGUAGCGAUACCCUAGUGGCGGACGGGUGAGUAACGCGUGAGAAUAAGCCUUCAGGUUGGGGACAACCACUGGAAACGGUGGCUAAUACCCUAUGUGCUUCACGGUGAAAGAUUUAUCGCCUGAAGAGGAGCUCGCGUCUGAUUAGCUAGUUGGUAGGGUAAAAGCCUACCAAGGCGACGAUCAGUAGCUGGUCUGAGAGGAUGAUCAGCCACACUGGGACUGAGACACGGCCCAGACUCCUACGGGAGGCAGCAGUGGGGAAUUUUCCGCAAUGGGCGAAAGCCUGACGGAGCAAGACCGCGUGAGGGAGGAAGGCUCUUGGGUUGUAAACCUCUUUUCUCAGGGAAGAACACAAUGACGGUACCUGAGGAAUCAGCCUCGGCUAACUCCGUGCCAGCAGCCGCGGUAAUA